ensembl:snRNA U6 U6 spliceosomal RNA
AUGCUUGCGUUAGCAGCACAUUUACUAAAAUUGGAACUAUACAGAGAAAAGAUUAGUAUGGCCCCUGAGCAAGAAUGACUUGCAGAUCUUUGAAGUGUUGCGUAUUUUU